rnacentral:lncRNA from 1 species
GGCCUCCCCGACCUUCGAUCCCCUCGCUUCAACGGCGGCGGCACCCCGUCCUUUUCUAAGGCUUCGGCGACAGCAACCACGUCCACCUCCACAUCCUGUGCUUCGGGGAUGGUGGCGCUUCUACUCCUCGUGCGAGAGGAUGAUGCAAAAUCGUGGAUGAAAUUCGGGAACUCCUGGUCUUGACCGACGCCCUCUGCUCCGGUCGCCGACCCAGCAACCAGAUCGUGGGUACCAUCCUGCCCUAAGGUUACAUGCACUACCUGUCUCUCCUUGAUGUGAUCUCUCAAAGUCCCGAUCUAUUUCAGGAAAACUAUCUUCUGUCUAUUUGAUACUCUUUUUUGGUCAACAGUUUUAACCUAUUGUAAUUGCUCUCAUUCUGGAGCGAGGUCACUAUUGACAAGUCAUUGUAGUGCUACUACCGCAUUAAUCUUAGCAGUGAAGCUAUGGUCUGUUCUUUGGUACAACAAUGAAAUGUUAAUAUGCCAUUCUCCUUUUAUGCUUUGUGUCAGUGCACUGUGGUAUGACACCAACACUUAUUUGGCACCUACAUUGCAUCGACAAUUUGCCAGCUUACAGUUUGUACCAUCGAGAAUUUGCACGACUUUACACCAGCAGCUAUACCACUAUACUAUAAAUAUAUUUUGAUGUCUAAACUGGUGUUGGUACUGAACCUGAUAGUGUAUUUGGUGUAUCUUUUCUGUAGAAUUAGUAUCAGAGUUCUAUUUGUAGUAUUAUUAAUAGUGCAGAGCUGAUAAUUAGACCAUAGAGUCGCUUUUGGUUUGGUUUAUUCCUUCAGAUCAUGCAAUAGCUGUAAGCACACAUUUAAGUACUUUAUCUUAUUACAAAAACUGAACAAAGAUAUACCAGCAAUACGUUUCAUGACGUAGUGUUAUCUAUGCAAGAAAAUUGCUUGAAUGAUUAUUAAUCAAUAUAAGCAAUCUAUCAUGUAGGUUUUGUUCGAUCCUACACUUAAAGAAAAUCAUACUGAAGAUCUGAGCUAAAGUGUUCCAACAGCUAAAGCACCAGCUCAAGAUGAAAGGAUCCUCUUAAUAUGAUUGUAGGUCCAUUCCUGUAAAGUGCAGUUAGAAUAUGGAAUCCACCUGGAACUCGGUUUUAAAAACAGAAAGCAUAUGGAAUUUUUAGGUUUCUGCUUUCUAUGUGAGUAUCUUGGUGCAUACUUGUUUCUGAAUAAAAUGCAGAGGUCAUGAACAAAUUAAAACAUGCUCUCUGAUGGGCAAGGGUAGGUUUAUUUUUAGUUAAAGUAGUAUCAGUUGUAUACUUAUAUACACACCAUUUGAAAAAUAGUAUGUAUCUCCUUGCAGACUACUACGUAUUAUUUAAAUGUUUUACAUAAGACUAUCCGUCCAGAUACAAUAACUAAUUAGUAUUUUAAUAACUUGAAUUGCACGGCUUGAUCGCUCUGCUUGGGUCUACUCUUUUGUAUGAGUGCACCAUGUGCGGGUUAAAUAAGUGCCCCAGCUUCGGUGAUGCACGCGCGAGGCAACACGAUUUGGUGCAGUGGCCCUCCUUCCAAGAAAUCAAGUUUUUACGUUCAGAUUUUAGAGCUCUUGAGUUUCAGCUUAGUUAAAGGAUAGAAAAGCAUACUCCUUAUGGAUUCAACGAGGAAGACCAUUAGCCGCCACCUUUUCAGAAUUGGAUGGUGUGGUGCACCUUCAUCCUGCUGUCCAAUUUCUUAGCUUAUUUGCUUUAAAUGUACUACAGUAUAUAGCAGGAUAAGGAUCCAAUCUUGUGACGCCUCUCCAUUUGCACCAUCGUCAAAAGUUGCACAUGAGUUGAUUCAGACUUUCAGAGUUCAUAGAACACCUAGAGUUAAUCGGCCUGAAGGUAUAUCAGACCCUAUGGAAAGGGGACCCGGUUCAGAUUUGUCACUACUAUGUGUUGUUGGAUAGCCAUGGUGUGUAUUAGUUUGCUUUUACCACAGUUCGGUUCUUGGUAGUUAGGAUAUCAGGUGUAUACAUUACUUUUCUUAUGAAUUUUUUCUCUUUUAGUGCACUAUCUAUCUAUCUAUCUAUCUAUCAAAGUUUUCAAAGAAAUUGAUGGCGGUGGCUCAGAGGCGUCGUGGUGAAUGGUGAAGCUUCUAAAAUGGAUGGAAGAGAGGUGGUGACUUGUGGCUGGGAGACGUACAUAUUUGAGGAAAUACGAUUCAUAAGGUUUCAUAUUAACAAAAAAAUGUGAUCUUUGUAAAGUAAUCCAAACAUUUUGUUGAUUCCAGGACAAUUUUAUUCUCCAAUAUGAAUCCGUAAGAAAAGAUAUGACAAUACAUUUGUGCAAAUUGAUAAUGUAAGCUCAUCUUGAAACUUUAUUCUUUUUCUAAGAUUGAUUUACUUGGUGGUGCUAACUUCCAUUCUGUCAAAACAGGACAUGUGUGCUUUUUCUGAAAAAGGAAGCUUCUCUGUUGGCUGGCAUCCCUGAUGGUGCCUUUAGAUAUGUAGGAAAAGAAAUGGUAUCUCAUAAUUCACUAGAUGUAGACCAGUAGGGUCAAUUACAAAUUGUUGGCUGUAAAUGACUUUCAGUUUCUAGCUUUCAUAAAAAAAUUAGACAUGUACUGUUUAAUUAAAAUUGUGUGAGUAUGUUGUGGUUGAUGGUGGUCCUAUGUGCUGGUUCAAAUUAUCAUGUUGGAUAAUAUUGCUUUUACUAGCAGUUGCAGUGCUCUUAUUAUUAUUUUCACAAAUAUCAUCAUGUUUUGCUAUUGAUGUAAUGCUAUAUUCUUUGACUGAAAUCAAACCCUUUAGUUGUUACUUUGGUGCUUUUAUUAUUGUGUGUGUAUAUUCGAUAAUGGCUUCAGUUUCAAUUAAAAUCGUUAACUGGACUUGCGGUGGCGUAUUAUUCGGCAAAAAGUAGUUUUGUCGCCUUUUAAUGUUUUCAUUUACAUUCAUGGUCAUAUAUGCCGCUUUGAAUGAAACAAUUGAUCAACUCCGAUCGUAGCUGGUAGGGGUUGUGAUGGACAGGGCGAAUGCAGGCACCAAACGGCGACUACUCGCACCCCUCCCCCCUAACCCCAUCGGGAACCCUCCAUUAGGCGCACCACGGGAGGAAGGAUAGGUCCAUGUCGACAAAGGAGGUAGACAUGAUGCGGGCGGCGGCGGCGUAGAGCACUUCAACAAGGGAGACUUGAAAUGGGGAACGAUAAGAAAGAUGAGUUCGUGCGUCCUUAUUUUAAUAAAAGUUAACGUCAAGUGCUUUGUUUAGGCUAAGCCCAAAUAGUUAACUCUUCCCACCAAACAACCAUCUGUAAAAAUUACCUAACAAAAAUGCUAUAAAAA